CAGACCAAAGUAGAGUCAUUCCGAUCAAUUUGAUGUGGAUCAUCUCAACAGUUCUCAUUCUCUGUACUCUCUGAUCAGAUCCGAUUCUCGAAUAGGCCAAUUCAAUCUGAAAUGGCCGCGUCCGGCGCUGCCACCACCAACAUCAUGCUGGCGAUCUACGAGAAGAAGACGACCACCGUCGACCUCUACCGGCCUCUCCGCAACUAUAUCACUUUCACGUACUCUGAACGGGAAGCGCAGAACCUUGAGGACGACCUUCAGACUCUGAAGGAACUCCGUUUAGACGUAGAGCGUGUAAUUGAUCCCUCUCCCGCCGCUCGCCGUGACGUUCUUCAAUCCUACUUCAAGGUCCUCUGCCUUGUCGAGACGCGAUUCCCCAUUUCUCCUGACUCUGACCACAUUAACACUGUUACGUUCACUUGGCACGAUGCCUUCAAGCAGAAACAGAAGGCAUCUCAGCAGAACAUUCACCUUGAGAAGGCUGCGGUGCUAUUUAAUUUGGGGGCAGCGUACAGCCAGCUAGGGCUAUCGUUCGAUCGCACGACGGUAGAGGGGAGGCGCCAGGCCUCCCACGCGUUCAUUGGGGCUGCUGGGGCGUUUGCUUUCUUGAGGGAUAAUGCAGCGACCAAGGCGUCCAUGGAUAGCUCUACCACGGUUGACGUGUCAGUGGUGUGUGCUGGGAUGCUGGAGCGGCUGAUGCUGGCGCAGGCACAAGAGUGCGUGUUCGAGAAUACCAUUGCCAAAGGGAGCACGCCUGGGGUUUGCUCCAAGAUUUGUAGACAGGUUGGUCUGUACUACGAGGAAGCUUUAACAGCAUUAAAUGUUGCACCUCUGAAGGAUCACUUUGACAAGGGCUGGAUAUCUCAUGUGCAGCUUAAGGCAGUUCUUUUCUAUUCAGAAGCUUGCUAUAGGUACAGUCUAGAGCUGCAUGAGAAAGAAGAGAUUGCCGAAGAAAUUGCACAGUUGAGGAGUGGGGUUAGUGCUUUAGCUGAGGCAAAGAAGUCCUCAAAGGGAGCUGCGGCACAGCUUCUGGAUGCAAUGAGUAAACUAGGGGUUAACCUUAGUUGCAACCUGGAAAGGGCUGUAAAGGAAAAUGAUAGGGUUUACCUUAUGAGGGUUCCCUCCCCUAGUUCUUUACCACCCCUUCCGGCAUUUUCAUUGGUUAAGCCAAUGGCAAUGAAUGAGGUAUUGGAUGCCAGCAAGAAGAAAAUGUUUGCAAGCCUUGUUCCCGACAGCAGUGCUAAGGCUCUUUCGAGAUACACUGAAAUGGUGGAUGAUAUCAUUAGGACACAGGCUGAGAAAUUGCAACAAGGGAGUGAGCUAACGCGAGUGGGGCUCAAGGAAAUGGACUUGCCAGAUUCUAUCCGUGCACUGGAAGGAAGUUCUCUACUCCCUGCAGAUCUCAAAGAAGAUGUUGAAGCAGUGCAGAUUAGUGGAGGCCCUGCUGGUUUAGAGUCAGAGUUGCAGCAACUCAGGGAUUUGAGGGGGGUGAACCAGGAAUUGCUGGUCCAGACUGAGGAACUUUUGCAGAAAGAAGCAGCAGAAGAUGCUCAAUUUAGAAGCCAAUUCAGAACACGAUGGACGAGGCCUCAGUCUAGCACACUGACAAAGAACUUGCAGGACAGGUUAAACAGAUUUGCGGCUAACUUAAAGCAAGCCGCAGAUAGUGAUGCCCGUAUUGAGCGUUCUGUGAGAGAUCAUUCUACACUGAUGUCGAUCCUGGAUCGGCGGCCGAUAGAAAAUGCCCUCCCCACUCUGGCUCGGCCAAUAAUGUCCUUGGAUGCGAAUGAAGAUGCUGUAGUUGGUUCCCUGAAGCAGAGCUUGAGGCAACUGGAGACUCUUGGUGCUCAACGUGCUGGUCUUGAAGAUAUGCUCAAAGAGAUGAAAAGAAAGGAUGACAUCCUACCAAAACUGAUGACAUCCACCGGAUCCUAUGAGGAUCUUUUCAGGAAAGAAAUAGCAAAGUAUGAUCAUAUCUGUGAGGAAAUUUCCCAAAAUAUUGAGGCACAAGAACAACUGUUGAUGCAAAUUCAGGCUCAAAAUGAUGAAUUUUCUUCUGUCUUCAACCUUGAAGAUUUUAAAGCAUCCCGUGAGAAGUGUUAUAAGCAGAUACAGGCUGCCAUAGCAAAAUACCGUGAAAUUAACGAGAACAUCAAUGAGGGAUUGAAGUUUUAUGUUACUCUGCGGGACGCAAUCGCCAAUGUAAAGCAGCAGUGCAGUGAUUAUGUGAUGACCAGGAACAUUCAAUGCCGAGAAAUGAUGGAGGAUGUGCAGAGACAAAUGGCAGGACUCGGUUUCCAGGAUCGCCAGAACAUGGGUUCUCAUAACUACCUUUCCUUUGGGCAGCCCCCUCAAACUCAGAGAUCCAGUUCAUUGCAACCAUCAGAUCCUCAACCUGGCCCCCCUUGUACUCAGUCACCUUACUAUCAGCCUCCUGAGCAGCCAACAAUGCCGGGUUAUGGUCACCCUCAUCUCAACUAUGGAUCCAAUCAGCAUCCACCUCCGUAUCAUAUUCCACCUGCUUCUGGUUCACCUUACCCUCCUCCACAACCUCAACAACAGCCACCUACAAACCAUGACUAUGGCCAACCUGCUUAUCCAGGAUGGCAAGGUCCAUACUAUAAUGCCCCACAACCUGGAUCUUUUCCUAGGCCUCCUUAUACUACUGUUCCAUCUCCAUAUCCUCCUCCUAACCAAAGUGGUUAUUAUAAGCAAUAACAGUGCGCUGUCCAUCUUUUCUGAUUUCGUUUUUAUUACAGCCAAUAUGUUUCAUUCUAAGUGGAAUGGAUUGAUUCCGGCUAUUACUUUUGUUCAGACAUCUCAUCAUGUAGAGCAUCCAGAUCAUGUAUUCAUUUUCGAGAUUUUUGUCAGGUGAUUUGAAGAUUAAAGGAGUUCAGCUUUACAUUGUUGGAUCCUUAUUACCACUAUGUCGACCUCUCUUAGGAGGAGAAGUCUUACAGAUUCAAAUCGAUUCGUGUGGAUUUCUUGGAGCAACUGCUUCUGCCCGGAAGAAAGAAAAAGAGAAACUGAGGCCCAAUAAAGGAUUAAGCCCAAAAGCGUGAGCGGGCCAAUGUCCUGCCCAUUAUAUAGGAGAAAGCGUUCAGCCCGAUUACUAGCGGCGGCCCACCUAACCAAUUUUUAACGUCUGUCACUGUCAAAUUUUGUUUUUUUUUUUUUUACCAUUUACAUACAUAUAUAGGAUAUAACAGGUUUUGUUUUAUUGAGAUGAAGUGCUUUUCUAAUCAAAUGUGAUUUUGUUGCAGAAGAUUCUUAGCCGGCUAACCAGAUUAUUUGUUCCAAGUUGUUUGUAUAUAUGGUCUUCACUAAUGGCCGGCCAAUUAGUUGACUCUGAUUUAAAUAUACAUGAUGACUUCAGUAA